UUACGUAGGGAGCCAUGUUGAGCACAGCGUGACAAAGUAUUCGUUCAACAAAAGCCGGAGAAAUUAUUUUCAUUUCUUGGAGAGCAAUUUAUCAGCAUCUCUGAAAUCUGGAUGUGUUAUAUAAUCUCUUCCGUGUCACGGAGUAAUUAAUUGGUAGCUCCCUGAGGACACAAAAUAAUGAACAAAAAUACACACUACAGUAAUGCGCCAUUGACACCAGGAACCCUUAAUCAACGUUCCAACAAGCCUGCACCUCCAGAAGAGGGAGGAAUAGCCACAGAAGCUAUGGAAGUCGGAUAUCGGCCCCGCAGGUCACCUGGCAUCACAUGGACGGCGGGAUGGCCCUUGGAAAGUGCACACAUCUCUCUCAGAUCUGAGGCUCCCUGGCCUACCCCAUGAUGUGAGUCACUGGGACCAUUCCUCAGCCAGAGUUAAUGAUUCCAUCCCAGGUAAGUGUCCCUUUUCUGUCCCUUCCUCCCAGCCCAAAAUCUCUAGUACCCCACACAACUAAAGUCACAUCAGCCGAGGGGCCUCCGAUCGUAAACAAACAAACAAAUAAAUAUUUGUAACUUCUUUUUCUUUUCUCAGUCAUCCAUAUGAGAAUGCCCUAGACACAGGACUGGACCAAGAAGUCUCCACUCACCUCCUCUGCAGGCCUGGAUUAUAAAGAUCUUUGGUUUCUCUUGAAGUGCCGGACAAUUUUUAUUAUUAAACAUUUCAAAAAUGUC